rnacentral:lncRNA from 1 species
AGUGCCAGAACAAACCUAGUAAUGAUUAGGGAUGAAUGUAGGACAAGAUUAAACCCAGAACAGCUUUAGUUUGGUUUUGUCUGGUACUCGCCAUGGCGAGUAGGAACUCUCGCCUCGCGAGCACCUCCAGAUUGGAGUGCAUUGAGUGUUUGUGCGAUCUGUGUCGCACGUUUUGAUCAAGAGUGAACCCCUAGUUGGUAAUGAAACCUAAUGAUGACGUUUAAUGCAAUCUGUAAAGCCGUUUAAGAUAUGUUGAUAUUAAUUGAGCAUGAAUUAAUGUAUUACACAUUAUGUAAGAUUAUGAAUGAAAUAUUAUGAUGCCAUUGAAUUGCAAUUGAUAUAUUGAUAUCAUCCUGUUGUUGUGUGACCUGACUAUGCUGCUGCUGUUAUUUAACUAAGUGCAUAAUGUCUAUAUAUGAUGAAUAAGAUGACGUUUAGCUCCAAAUUAUUGGAUGUUUAUUGAUAUGUUGAUUACGGUGAUUUGUUGAUAAGAGUGCAUGCAUUAGCAUUCAUUGAGCUUAGUCCUCACCACGAUUAUUAGGAGCUUUGUCCUCCGCACGAUUUAUUAGGAGCUUUGUUCUCCGCACGUUUAAAGUAUAUUAAUACUUAUGAUGACGAUUGGUACCACAUGCAUAUAAGGAGUCUAAGAGCAUUAUCGCAUUGUCAUGUCUAGUAUGCUAUGUUGUUGAUGACGAUUGAAUAUGUGAUUACGUGAUGAUUGUUUAUCAAAUAUGAAAAGUUGUUUAAGAUUGAUAUGAUGUUAAUUAUGAUUCAAAUUACUUUGAUUAACAUUAUUUUGUUAUGAAAUCUCA